UAUCCCCCCCUGUCGUGCCCUUGCCCUCCCCCACCGACCUGCAGAACGCGAAGAACCUUACCCACACUUGACAUGUCUCUUGGGACUUUCAGAGAUGAUUGUCUUCGGUUCGGCCGGGGAGAACACAGGUGCUGCAUGGCUGUCGUCAGCUCGUGUCGUGAGAUGUUGGGUUAAGUCCCGCAACGAGCGCAACCCUUGUCGUAUGUUGCCACCAUUUAGUUGGGCACUCAUGCGAGACUGCCGGUGAUAAGCCGGAGGAAGGCGGGGACGACGUCAAGUCAUCAUGGCCCUUACGUGUGGGGCUAGAAACGUGCUACAAUGGGAGUGACAGUGAGCAGCGAGGUCGCGAGGCCAAGCUAAUCUCCAAAAGCUCUCUCAGUUCAGAUUGUAGUCUGCAACUCGACUACAUGAAGUUGGAAUCGCUAGUAAUCGCAAAUCAGCAUGUUGCGGUGAAUACGUUCCCGGGUCUUGUACACACCG
rnacentral:rRNA from 1 species